GCGCCCGUAGCUCAAUCGGAAAGAGUAACUGACUACGAAUCAGGAGGUUGGGGGUUCGAUUCCCUCCGGGCGCACCA
rnacentral:tRNA from 1 species